CAAUAGCGUAUAUUAAAGUUGUUGCGGUUAAAAAGCUCGUAGUUGGAUUUCUGCUGAGGACGACCGGUCCGCCCACUGGGUGAGUAUCUGGCUCGGCCUUGGCAUCUUCUUGGAGAACGUAUCUGCACUUGACUGUGUGGUGCGGUAACCAGGACUUUUACUUUGAGGAAAUUAGAGUGUUUCAAGCAGGCUUACGCCUUGAAUACAUUAGCAUGGAAUAAUAAGAUAGGACCUCGGUUCUAUUUUGUUGGUUUCUAGAGCUGAGGUAAUGAUUAAUAGGGAUAGUUGGGGGCAUUCGUAUUUAACUGUCAGAGGUGAAAUUCUUGGAUUUGUUAAAGACGGACUGCUGCGAAAGCAUUUGCCAAGGAUGUUUNCAUUG
rnacentral:rRNA from 1 species